rnacentral:tRNA from 1 species
GGGCGCUUAGCUCAGCGGCUAGAGCAUCCGCCUUACACGCGGGGGGUCGGGGGUUCAAAUCCCUCAGCGCCCA